GAGCCCAUAGCUCAGGUGGUAGAGCAGCUGACUUUUAAUCAGCGGGUCGCAGGUUCGAGUCCUGCUGGGCUCACCA
rnacentral:tRNA from 2 species